rnacentral:rRNA from 1 species
AUUGAACGCUGGCGGCAUGCUUUACACAUGCAAGUCGAACGGUAACAGGGUGCUUGCACCGCUGACGAGUGGCGAACGGGUGAGUAAUGCGUCGGAACGUGCCGAGUAGUGGGGGAUAACGCAGCGAAAGUUGUGCUAAUACCGCAUACGUACUGAGGUAGAAAGUGGGGGACCUUCGGGCCUCACGCUAUUCGAGCGGCCGACGUCUGAUUAGCUAGUAGGUGAGGUAAAGGCUCACCUAGGCGACGAUCAGUAGCGGGUCUGAGAGGAUAAUCCGCCACACUGGGACUGAGACACGGCCCAGACUCCUACGGGAGGCAGCAGUGGGGAAUUUUGGACAAUGGGCGAAAGCCUGAUCCAGCCAUGCCGCGUGUCUGAAGAAGGCCUUCGGGUUGUAAAGGACCUUUGUCGGGGAGGAAAUCCCCAGCGUUAAUACCGCUGGGGGAUGACAGUACCUGAAGAAUAAGCACCGGCUAACUACGUGCCAGCAGCCGCAGUAACAC